GGGCAGCUUUUAUGGUGCCUAAUGCUGCUGUCUGCCUCGUGCAACUUGGUAGCACAGCACAGUCACUGGGCUGUCUGUGUUCACGUGUGGAGAUGCUGAUUCCCCCUGGAUGCAGGUGCUUGAGAGCCAGCUCCUCCAAGGGAGAAGGGAACUCGUUAUCAUUAACUGUGCUUAGUGAGCGGUCCGACUCCUUGGGUGGAAAUGCUCCCUUCUGCACAAAGCAGUUCUGUUACUACGUUGUGUCACCGUGUACCCAAAUAUCUACUUGAUGUCAGUGCUAAAACAUUGGCUGCACUUGAUACGACCAUAACUGGGGUCCGAGCUGUUGUUUAGAACGCCUCAAAGACUGAAGACCUUGAAAAUUACAGUACCACAGCAUUUCUGCUACCUCAAGGCCAAAUCCCAAAUCAGAAACCCCGAACAGAUUUAUUUUUACCCCAGCUGACAUGACAGUAGAGAAGAAGUGGAUCCUCAGGAGAUGUAAAUUAUUGAAUGCACGUUUCUAUCUGCCAAGAAUCUCUCCAGGAUGUCUUCAAUCGUGCUGUUCAAGUUGUAAUAAGACAGGGGCAUAUCUCUGUCUUUCAAGGUCUCUUUGUCAAGCACUUGGUUCUUCAUUUGCUCCAUCUUCUGAGACUGGAAGGGUUUCUCUGGCCUAAAUAGCUUGUUCUUCCCCACGUUGCCCUUGCAUGUUGGUACCCAGCACUGUUCCUAUCCCUGUGCUUCUAUCAACCCUGGUGUUUUUUCAGCUGGAUGCAGGCUGAGACCUCCCUGUGUUAGGAGAUGGGCAGCCUGGCUGCAUCCUACUGCAGGGUUGCUGGUGGUCCCCAUGCAUGGAAAUGGGAAGAGCCAACUGUACUGAACUUCCCUGGCUAGCGCAGGUCAGCCUGCAAAACAUGCUGUCCCCUAAAAUCCUAUCCAGGGGUGUUUCAUGGAUAGGCUGCCAUCUAACGCUAUGAACAACUCGGAGCAAAUAAAAAUCUGCAAGAACUGGAAGAUGAAAGAGGCUGCAAAACUGAGCAUCUGAAGUUUAUGAAGAGCUCUCCCUCCAAAGAAAUGGGCAGAACUGGUUUGGAAGAAAUUCAGUAAAAAUAUUAAUGUCUUCAUGGACAGGAAUAAUCUGGAUUAUAACAAACUUCUCAUGAGAAAGGCUUUGUUUUUUUAAUGGAUAUUUUUAUCCAACAACAAAGAAUUGUAAAUUGUACAAUGGCUCGAAGUUAAGCUGGUUUUAGAGAAAGAAACAUGAAGCAAAAGUGGUCUAAAGCAAAGCAGGAUAUUUUUAAACUUUAAAAAGAGAGCAUUUUACUUUACUCAGACCAUUUUUUCUCCAUUUCCUCAUUAGCAUUUUGAUUCAUACAAACUUUCUGCCAUGUCAGCUCCUUUGUUUGGUUUGGAAUAGGGGUGGGAGGAGAGGGAGAAUCUUCAAAACCCCGACAACCUUUUUGGCCCAAAGCUAACGGCAAGGCAGAAGUCACUCCAGGUGACCACAGGAGGCAGAUAAAGAGUGCCCACUGCCCAGAGUUCUCCGCAAACUCUCCUCUCCCUUACAUCAGUGCAAAGGGAAUUCACUUCUUUCAUGCCCCAGUUGCUGUUUUUUGGUUUGUAUUUCUCACCACUGCUAUUUUAUUUGCAUUUUAGCUCGAUGAAGUUCCAUUACAAUUAGUUCUUAACGCUUCCUGAGGAAGUUCCUUCUUUCUGAGAUCAGAAAAGCUUUGUUCUGCUGAGAAGUUUCUAAGGAAAGGGGAGCCAGCAAAGCAGAGAGCUUGUUAGUAAAACUGGUUCAUGCUUUGGACUGAUUCCGUUUUCUCUAAUGGCUUGAUUGUAACAGUUGCACUCUAAUUUUUGUACAGGGUUGUGCACAUUUUAGGCAAUGUAAAUAUAUACAUUGGCAUGCUUAUUAGCUCUGCUGUUUAAGUUACGGAUAUUUGAUAGUGUAUAAUAAAACCAAGUGGUCCU
rnacentral:lncRNA from 7 species